UCCUUUUUACUACUAAUGUGCAGCUACGGU
rnacentral:piRNA from 1 species